UUACUUUAGCGGCGAAUGGGUGAGUAACACGUGCUUAAUCUACCUUUUAGAUUGGAAUACCUAAUGGAAACAUUGGUUAAUGCCGGAUACGCAUGAAAUCGCAUGAUUUCGUUGUGAAAGGAGCGUUUGCUCCGCUAAAAGAUGAGGGUGCGGGACAUUAGCUAGUUGGUGAGGUAAUGGCCCACCAAGGCUAUGAUGUUUAGCCGGGUCGAGAGACUGAACGGCCACAUUGGGACUGAGAUACGGCCCAAANUCCUACGGGAGGCAGCAGUAGGGAAUAUUCCACAAUGAGCGAAAGCUUGAUGGAGCGACACAGCGUGCACGAUGAAGGCCCUCGGGUUGUAAAGUGCUGUUGCAAGGGAAGAACACUUAGUUGAGGAAAUGCAACUAAGCUGACGGUACCUUGUUAGAAAGCGAUGGCUAACUAUGUGCCAGCAGCCGCGGUAAUACAUAGGUCGCAAGCGUUAUCCGGAAUUAUUGGGCGUAAAGCGUUCGUAGGCUGUUUAUUAAGUCUGGAGUCAAAUCCCAGGGCUCAACCCUGGCUCGCUUUGGAUACUGGUAAACUAGAGUUGGAUAGAGGUAAGCGGAAUUCCAUGUGAAGCGGUGAAAUGCGUAGAUAUAUGGAAGAACACCAAAGGCGAAGGCAGCUUACUGGGUCUAUACUGACGCUGAGGGACGAAAGCGUGGGGAGCAAACAGGAUUAGAUACCCUGGUAGUCCACGCCGUAAACGAUGAUCAUUAGUCGGUGGGAGCCACUGACGCAGCUAACGCAUUAAAUGAUCCGCCUGAGUAGUAUGCCCGCAAGAG
rnacentral:rRNA from 2 species